CCGUCGUCAUAGGGUUUCAAGGCGGAUCUGACGGGCCUGGUGGGCUCGCGGCGAGCUUGGUGGAUGAAACGACGGCGUUGCAGCCGCGGUCUCGCCUCAUGCGUUUUCUGGAGCCGCCGUUGUCUCCGUCGUCGACGUCGUGGUCGGAGGAGGAGGAGGAAGCAAGAGCGAAGAUGCGGAGAUUUCCUUCCGAGGUCUCAACGACGCGUCGGAGAUUGUCCUCCUUGCGCUUGCGAGAAAGGCGAUCGAUUUCAAAUCUCAAAUCCAUCGAUCUCAGACCAGAUUCAGAUCUGCAGAGCCUCUCGAUUUCAGAUCUCAAAUCCAUCGAUCUCAGAUCAGAUUCAGAUCUGCAAAAGAGACCGAGAGAAAGAGAGAGAUUGAGAAGAGUGAGAGAAGUAGAGAGAAAAUCCUAACUCUUCCUCGCAAAAGCGAAGUGACGAAUUUAAGCGACCG
rnacentral:lncRNA from 1 species